GGCCUUUUGAUGAUAAUUUAAGGUCUAACCUGCCCAAUGAUAUAGUAUUAAAUGGCCGCGGUAUCUUGACCGUGCAAAGGUAGCAUAAUCAUUAGUUUUUUAAUUGAAAGCUUGUAUGAAAGGUUUAAUGAAAAAAUAGCUGUCUCUAUUUAAAUUUUUUAGAAAUUUAUUUUUAAGUUAAAAAGCUUAAAUAAAUAUUAAAGACGAGAAGACCCUAUAGAGUUUUAUAGUUUUAUGGAGUUAUUAUAUUUUAGAAUUUUUUAAUGAUUUUUUAAGAUUAUUUGGUUGGGGUGAUUGAAAAAUUAGUAAAACUUUUUUAUAUUAAAUUUCACUGAUUUGUGAGUUUUUGAUCUUUAUUAAAGAUUAAUAGAUAAAAUUACCUUAGGGAUAACAGCGUAAUUUUUUUUAGAGUUCUUAUCGAAGAAAAAGAUUGCGACCUCGAUGUUGGAUUAAAAUAAGUUGCUGGUGUAGAAGCUGGCAAGCCAGGUCUGUUCGACCUUUAGAUUUUUACAUGAUCUGAGUUUAAACCGGUGUGAG
rnacentral:rRNA from 1 species